rnacentral:rRNA from 1 species
AUUGAACGCUGGCGGCAGGCCUAACACAUGCAAGUCGAACGAGUGGCGGACGGGUGAGUAAUGUCUGGGAAACUGCCUGAUGGAGGGGGAUAACGAAUGGAAACGGUAGCUAAUACCGCAUACUAUCAGAUGAGCCCAGAUGGGAUUAGCUAGUUGGUGGGGUAACGGCUCACCAAGGCGACGAUCCCUAGCUGGUCUGAGAGGAUGACCACCCACACUGGAACUGGGACCCGGUCCAGACUCCUACGGGAGGCAGCGUUGGGGAAUAUUGCACAAUGGGGGCAAGCCUGAUGCAUCCAUGCCGCGUAUAUGAAGAAGGCCUUCGGGUUGUAAAGUACUUUCAGCGGGGAGACGUUACCCGCAGAAGAAGCACCGGCUAACUCCGUGCCAGCAGCCGCGGUAAUUC